rnacentral:ribozyme from 1 species
CCCGACCGUUACUGCUACCUUGACGUGGUGGUCGGGCUUGCCUAUCAUGGCGAACCGAUCGAGCUAUACUGGCUGGAACAAUAGUUCCUCAAGGUCCUACCAUGCCACACAGGUCGGUUGAAGAGCGGUGAGACUAAAAUCAGU